rnacentral:rRNA from 1 species
GACGAACGCUGGCGGCGUGCUUAACACAUGCAAGUCGAACGGAAAGGCCCUGCUUUUGUGGGGUGCUCGAGUGGCGAACGGGUGAGUAACACGUGAGUAACCUGCCCUUGACUUUGGGAUAACUUCAGGAAACUGGGGCUAAUACCGGAUAGGAGCUCCUGCUGCAUGGUGGGGGUUGGAAAGUUUCGGCGGUUGGGGAUGGACUCGCGGCUUAUCAGCUUGUUGGUGGGGUAGUGGCUUACCAAGGCUUUGACGGGUAGCCGGCCUGAGAGGGUGACCGGCCACAUUGGGACUGAGGUACGGCCCAGACGCCUACGAGAGGCAGCAGUGGGGAAUAUUGCACAAUGGGCGGAAGCCUGAUGCAGCAACGCCGCGUGCGGGAUGACGGCCUUCGGGUUGUAAACCGCUUUCGCCGGUGACGAAGCGUGAGUGACGGUAAUGGGUAAAGAAGCACCGGCUAACUACGUG